rnacentral:lncRNA from 1 species
UGGUUUCACAUGCUUCUCGUUGAGGAACAUUAUCUCAUGCAUCAUUAGCUCUUUGGCUUUGUGAGUUUCUUCAUCAUCAUUCUCCUGUGUUUCUUGGAGCUUAAGCAGCCUGUCUGGACAAUUCGAUGCAUAAUGUCCUGUUUUUUCACACCAGUAGCAUACUAUCUUUGACAGAUCUCUUGGCUCAUAAGAUCUUCCAAGACCUCUUCCUCUGCUAUAGAAGCAUCCUCAAC